GCAUCGGUGUUUAAGUGGUAAAAUGCUCGCGUGCCACGCGGGCGUCCCGGGUUUGAUUCCCGGCCGAUGCA
rnacentral:tRNA from 1 species